GGUACCACGGUACUUUGGAUUAACUCGAGAUCCUGCACAGUGACACAGCUGACGGUGCCAGCGGCCUGAAACACAGACGUGUGCUCUUUUCCUGAUUUACGGAGCAUAGCCUUCUUACUCAGAUGAUUGAACAACUGGAGGAACAUAACUGGAGUUCUGCUGACCCCCUGGUGACUGGCUGUGGGUUUUUCUUCACCUAGGCAUCUGCACUCCAUGACAAAAAGUGAAACCAUUAUCCUGAGCUUUGCCUUCAACCAGCUACAUUGUAAACUGUUGUUUACGAAGAGGAAUGUCAUCUCUGGUGAAGUGAGAGAAAGCAAUUAGCCUUCCAAUAGCAAAGAGAGUAAGAGCAAAGGUUUCACUAAGCCUUUGCUUAGUGAGUUUACUAAGAAAUAAUGAUAAAAACUGAAACAUUUCUGGACUGAUAAUGGUCUUCCUGCUGAGCAUCUAAGUUUCCCGAGUGGGCAAAGGAACCCGGAAGAGUGGUGUCUUGGACCAGAAGAUUGAUUCUGUGAUUCUCCAUCUGCACCAUGGGCUGUCAGCAUGAUCACAGUUGUUUCUUUAAAAGCACUGUCAAGACAAUUACUGAUUUUCUUCACCACUGUAUUUACAUGUUCGUGUCCAUCUAUACCUAGAGCUCAGAAUAUUGAUAACAAACUGCUUGACAUUUUUGCUCUUCUGUGUAGAGUUUCAGGCAGCCAAAGUAGAAUCUGAUGAUGCUCAGGAAAAUCAAAUGAUUGCCAGCUUUAAAUUAUGUACAUAAAAAGGAGGAAUCCCUAAAGUAUGCUUGGCAAAAUUUACAGGAGCAGAAUCAGCUUUUCUUGCUUUAGAAGAAAAUAUUGUUUUGCUUAAUAAGAAUGUGCUGUUUUAUUUUUCAGUAUUGUUAGUGAAGUGAACAUUAU